UACGAACUGUGCAAACGUUAUUCGGAAUCACUGGGCUUACAGGGUGCGUAGGCGGCCAGACAAGUAGGGUGUGAAAGCCCCCGGCUUAACCGGGGAAUGGCGCCCCAAACUGUAUGGCUGGAGUGAGAUAGGGGUGUGCGGAACUUCCGGUGGAGCGGUGAAUGUGUUGAUAUCGGAAGGAACGCCGGUGGCGAAAGCGGCACACUGGAUCUCAACUGACGCUGAGGCACGAAAGCCAGGGAGCGAACGGG
rnacentral:rRNA from 1 species